GGGGUACCUGGGCAUCAGCUAACUCAUCUGGUGAAAGUGAAUUUACAAAAAGAUCAGAAGUACAAGUACCAUUCCCAGUAUCCCCACUCCCCUCUUUUAAAUCCAGGGGAAGCAAUGUAGAUGGAUUUAACACCACACACCUUUUAAGAGUAACAUUAGGUGGCAUUAGCAAGGCACACUGCAUUCUGAGAUGCCUUGCAGUAUGUAUGUGUUUUGGUUGAACUUGUGACAGUAUGCUGUUGAUAUCAUGCGGUGUGUGUGUGUGUAUAUGGUCACCAGAUUAUCUAAAACAAUAUCAGUGGCAGUAACAGUAGGCAUUUUAUGCCGCAUGGGUUAAUUUAAAUGGUUUGUUUUCGUUGGCAAGGCACUCAUACAGGGGCUGCAUGUAGAUUUCUGUAGAAGCCAAGGUCGGCAGUAUGAAUCGUAG